rnacentral:rRNA from 1 species
UACGUAGGGUGCGAGCGUUGUCCGGAAUUAUUGGGCGUAAAGAGCUCGUAGGCGGUGUGUCACGUCGUUCGUGAAAACCUGCAGCUUAACUGUGGGCGUGCGGUCGAUACGGGCAUCACUGGAGUUCGGCAGGGGAGACUGGAAUUCCUGGUGUAGCGGUGAAAUGCGCAGAUAUCAGGAAGAACACCCGUGGCGAAGGCGGCUCUCUGGAACGCAACUGACGCUGAGACGCGAAAGCGUGGGGAGCAAACAGG